UACGUAGGGUGCGAGCGUUGUCCGGAAUUAUUGGGCGUAAAGAGCUCGUAGGCGGUGUGUCACGUCGUUCGUGAAAACCUGCAGCUUAACUGUGGGCGUGCGGUCGAUACGGGCAUCACUGGAGUUCGGAAGGGGCAACUGGAAUUCUUGGUGUAGCGGUGAAAUGCGUAGAUAUCAAGAGGAACACCUGCGGCGAAGGCGGGUUGCUGGGCCGACACUGACGCUGAGGCGCGAAAGCUAGGGGAGCGAACGGG
rnacentral:rRNA from 1 species